rnacentral:rRNA from 1 species
UACGUAGGGGGCAAGCGUUGUCCGGAUUUAUUGGGCGUAAAGAGCGUGUAGGCGGCCAGGUAAGUCCGUUGUGAAAACUCGAGGCUCAACCUCGAGACGCCGAUGGAAACCAUCUGGCUAGAGUCCGGAAGAGGAGAGUGGAAUUCCCGGUGUAGCGGUGAAAUGCGCAGAUAUCGGGAAGAACACCCGUGGCUAAGGCGGCUCUCUAGUACGGUACUGACGCUGAGACGCGAAAGCGUGGGGAGCGAACAGG